rnacentral:misc_RNA from 1 species
AAGCAAACUAAUGAACUAAAAGAGAUAAAAACCAGGGAAGUAAAAGGGUGACCAGAUGGUCCAAUAUUAAGCUUGGACAAAGUAAUUUAGAUCAUCCAAUUGAACUGGAGAUGAAACGGCAAUCUAUAGAAACAUAUAAAUGAGAAACAAUGAAUGAAACUUGCGGAUAUCAUCAAAAGAAUGGAUUGGAAAUGAAACAAUUUAAGGGACAACCGAAAACGAAAACUUAGAAGAGAAGGUACUAUUCUUGGAUGAAAGGAUAUCCUACACCCAAA